AUGGUUGAUACAUUACUGAUGAAAGAUGAUAGUUACUAAAUAGUAAAUUAUUCUAUUUGCGCAGCGAUGAUCACUUAUCUAAUGUUCGGUGCAGGUUGUAUGUAUGACCAGCGACGUAACUUACAAAUACGUUAGUAGGAUAUCAAGGAUAUUUUUAUGCUUAAUUAAUUAUCGUUGAUUCUAGUCGGUAAAAAAGGUCACUAAAAGUUAUAUAUACAUACAUGCAUACACACACAUACACACAUUUACUUUCAGCCAUAUUUGUACAUUGCCAUACAAGUUUUAAAGAAGAAAUAAAAAUAUUAACUUGUGUCUAAUUUUGUUUGAAGUAGAUAAAUAAAAAUAAACAUCUAUCCGUAUCACUUCAUAAAUCGAAGAAAAUGGUACGAUGAGACGAUCGGUAAUGUAGAAAAUUUGUUAUUAAUAUUAUCUAUUUACGUAUUGUAUUAAAAGAUUAGACUUCAAUUACAUGUUCCUAAGCUACUAUAUUUAUAUUUUUAUUAGUUGAAAUUUUGCUUAAAUUUAAAUUUGCUUAUAUAUAUAUAUGUGUUUUUAUAUGAAACUUUUUUUUACUUUUUCUUUAUUAAUUUACUUUAUCUUUAAAAAUGGUUAUGAUCUGUGAACAUUGAGAAAAAGGUCCCAAAAUAUAAAUAAGUAUUACCGAUUAAUAAAUCCAAAGAAUACAGAAGUAUAUAGAAACUCACAAGUCCACUUUUUGCGUAAACAAAAUCAUUUUAUAUUAGUUAGUACCGGGACCACCAGUAGAUGAGAAUACGCGAUGACGGUACAAUACUAUCAAAGAAUACUGUAUUAACGAAGCUAUAUAUAAGGAGGACGAUCGAGAUACGCGAUUUCGUCGAAUUUGUGUUAUUGAAAAUAAGAAAAUACCGAGUACGAUAAUUCUCUACGAGGGCGGCGGUGGUGCUCAGGAGUUCAGAUUUAAGUACGUGUGAUUUUAUAAAUAAACAAAUAAUUCUAUUUCAUGUUUUUGUUUGAAUCACGAAACCUUAAGUUUUUUACAAAUGUGAAUUUUUAUUGAAUUUUUUGUUUAUGAUGGUGAAAUAUUGUGUUGUGGUGGAUUGCAUCAACAGUAAAGAAAAGUAAAAAAAAAAUAAGUUGAUAUUACAGACAAAUUCUCUGUUUACCGUACCCAAAAAAACUCAAAUUAUAAGGCAAUGGAGUGAAAUAUUUAGGCAAAAUUUGGACUUCGAUCCAAAAUGUCGCAAAUUUAUCUGUGAUAAACAUUUUGAUGAAAAA
rnacentral:lncRNA from 1 species